UGGAUUACACAAGAGAACCAAGAUAUUCAAAAGAAAGAAAGAGCGACAGAAAGAGAGUGAGAUAAAGAUCCGAAACCGCAUUUCGAUCCGAAACCCUUUUCCAAAACCCUUUCCGAAACCGCACUUCGAUCCGAAACACAUUGAAACCGCACUUCGAUCCGGAACCCUAACCUAAGUUAACGUGCGUCGAUGGAGCUUCGUUCUGGUUGAGGACUUUCCAAUCCCAUAGUUUCUGCGCGAUUUCGAGAUUUUUGAUCGGUUGAAGUUUUGAAAACAAGAAGACUCAGACGCUGUGUCAAUUUCAGGGUAUUAUCACACUGCUCUUCAUGUUGCCGCGUGUGAGGUAUUCACUGAGGUCGUUGAGUUUUUGAUCCAGAAAGGUGCCGAAGUUGACGCCAAGGAUCGAUGGGGAAGCACGGGAAGGAGGAGCAGCCUAGGGAUGAUGUUGUUGUUGAAGAUGAAACUAAUGGCAGGUUUCUAUUGUAUCUUCAUAUUUGAAUAUAGUUUAUGAUCCUGAUUCAGGUUCUGACUUUGAAGGUAAAUUGUUUGACUCUCAGAUUUUAAACUCUGAAUAUCUUAAUUUCUUUGCACGUCUAGUAGUUUGAGUUUUUCUUGUCACAAGAUUUCACGGUCACAUUCCUGUCUCAAGUUUUCCUUUAUUUUUUUUUCUACAUAAUUCUUGAUAUAUAGAUCC